rnacentral:lncRNA from 1 species
GUCAGGUUUACGUAUGUAGUUGGCGUUUGUGUUUUGUUUCACUUCAGUGAUUCUGUGUUUUCUUUGUUUCCCUCGGUUGUAUUCUGUUAUCCGUUUUAUUAUAUUUUUUUUUUAUCUCAAUCGAUGUAUGAAUUUUAAACACCGGUAUACUACUGUUGCCUUUAUUUAUGAUUUUUUUUUUGUCAUAUGUCCGGACUUCUAGGAUUUUUCCCUUUGGUAUAGGGUAAAAUAUUUCAUUCCAUAUCACUCCUUUUUCUUUUUAUGGAAGACUUUAAUAGCUAAUAAAUAUGUCAUUUUAAAAAACUUUUAAAGUAGAUUCUAGAUUUUUUUUAACGAAGUGAGACUCAAACAAUGCCUUUGUUGAAUAUAAGGUAAAAUUAGGAGUCAGUCUUUUCACGUCAUUUAAAGAUAUUAAAUAUCGUACAAAGAAUCAAUAUCAAUAUUUUUAGCCUAUUUUGUUCCUUUAAUUUUCUAUAAUUUCACCCACAUGUAAUUUCAUCCUUAAACGAUUAAAAUGUUCCUUUGUGUCUAUAAUGUGAUCAGUUGUGAAUCAAAUUUAGUCCAGUAACAAAUAUC